AUUGAAAAACUAAUUUUGAGCACGAUGUUUAUUUGUUUAUUCCAAUAUGAUCGUUAGUUUCAGCGGUCCCGGAAAUGAACCAAAACUAGCAAUCAAGAAAAAAAACAAAUACAUUCGGAGCUAUUCAGAGCUACACUACGAGUAAACUUGCAAGAUAAUACAUGUAAGUUAAGGACAAAGAACAAAAGCACUGUCGCCAUGUGUCUGUUUAUCUUAGGACCGUGUCAACAUUUCCAUCCCGUUCUUUCAUCCGUACUACACUGUCAUUCAAGCAAUAAGCUGUUCAGGUUGUUUGAACAAUUGUUUCUCUUUAUUUAAAACAAACUCGAAUACAUCCAUAUUUGUUUAUAAAAUAGGGCGACAAGUUACGACACUACUGCCUUAAGAAGCCCCGUGUAGGAAGCCACCUAUUUUGCCGACGGUUUGUGUCAUUUCGAGCUUAACGGUGGUGUUUAAACCAAAUCCAACACACCACAGCAAAAUUUAUUAUCACAAAGUAGUAGGUUGGCUUCCACCACAAGUUAGAAACUCAUUAACAGUUUUCCUGAAAACAGCUGGGCUGACCCACUAAUUAGCAUGCCCUGUACACCUGGGGUGACAUUUGAGAGACGGCUAACUUCUGUAAUUAAACGCUCCCAGUACAAUUACACUGUUUAAAUUGUAAGCUACUUGUAGUAUACGAUAUGCAGGCCCUGAACCUCUUAAAAGCUAAACGGCUGCAAACCAAUACUAAUAAAAGUACCCUUACUACAAACUGUUCAAAUAUGCAGGCUUGUCUUUUUAUAUAUAGCCUAUAUAUAGUGCUGGCACAAGGUCAACUUGACGAAGGAUUCGUAAACUAACCUACAUUUCAAACCACAAUUUUAAACCCCAAUAGGCUACUGUUAAGUAUUAAUAUUAACUAAUUGCACCAAAGUUAAAAUAGUCGAACAUGAAUGUCUCACCUUCUCAACGUCUGCUUUUGCCAAGCCACCGUCAGCUGUUCCUUCUGUUUUCUGGCAAGAGCUUUUACACUGGUGUUUCUCGUUCACAGCAAUUCAAUUUAUUUUGCGAAAUAUUGCAUAACAGGUUCCAGCAGGCUUGUCCGGGGUGUCAUCAUUAAACAAUUUCACUAUUUUUGUCAAUUUUACGACACACUGGACUGGUAUAAAGACAGACUGAAACAAUGCGUGACUAUUCGUGUUCGGAGACGCCGAAAAGCAGCCGUUAAAGGCCGCCAAACGCACGCGCCACGCUUGUUAGAAGUUUAAAUGGUAUGUAGCCAUGCAGCUGUUGAUAUCCACGAGACAAACGAGGAAAGCACCCUUAAUAGAAUUGUGAAAUGCGAACUUACAUUGGCGAACACGUUUCAAGGAUGGAAAAUGUAGCAUAUAGAUAUUAGGGUGACGUUUUUAAUUUGAGAAUGUUAUCAAAUGCAAAUUGCCCUUUCUUAAACCAGUUAUUAUACUGAAUAACCAGUUUUAUUACCAGUUAUUAUACACGUCUAGGUAUGGAAUGCUUAUGGCAUGAGUUUUGUUAUCCAUAUCCAGCAUAUAUCUAUGAUUGCAUAUUAUCUACAUUACCGUUUGCGCUUUUACAAGGUAUUGUAUAUUUGGGAUUUCUUUUUAUUUUGCAAGGUUUGGGAAAUUGUUUUAAUUUCUAUAUUUUCACAUUUCAGUAGAGGUGCUAUAGAGAUGGUUGUGUGGGGGUAAAAUGUGUUUUACAAUAAAAGGUGCCAAUGGUGCAGGACCUUCCUAGUUGUCUCCUCACAAAAGUUAUUUUUCUUUUUUUGUCUGAUAUGAGAAGUGAUUCCAGCCACCAGCAGUUAAUCAGCUUCAAAAGCAAAUAACGCAAAAUAUACGAACUCCUGGAUAUUAUAGCCCGUAUUCUAUCACAACAAACAGAGCACAGCAAACUGAAAUGCAUCUUGCUGACAGCUGGACACCGUAAACCAUUCUUUUUAUAGUGUAGCGUGCGUUAUGAUACAGGGGAACAGAGAGUGAUUGUACAUGUUGAGUUAUGACGUCACCAAGAUCAAGGAGUGCAAGUCGCGCCUCUGUCUGCGGCUUUUUAAGAACACGGGCUAGCCUAGAGGAGCUGAUCAGGGUGGUGGCGCUGACAGAGACUGGCCGUUAAUUUCAGCUCAUCUUAAUUCAGAAGAGCGGCAGCUUACGGCUGUACAAGGACAGGACCCAGGAUCUAGCAAUGGGAAUGAUGAACCUUGAUGAAUUUUACACGCUCUCAUUGUGACUUAUCAAAUGUCUUGAGGGAAGGAUUUUCUGAGGAUUUCCUUUAAGUACAAAGGAAGAGGACUGCAAUUAUCUUUCAAUGCAAUAAACGAUGAAUUGCACCUAAGAUGGAUAGUGCAAAAAAAGGCAAUGCGUACUUGAUAAAAUUCCCCACGUGGAAAAUGGCAAAACUAAAUUAAUAACAUUUUGCUGUGAGGGGACAUGGUGUCGCAGCCGUCUCGUGUUAUACAUGAUACGGUAAGCUCGGGAGAAAGUGUUGAUCCGCACGCCGAAUCGCUGCCCGUGAGGCGCAAGGAAGAACGAACGAAGGGGCUGCUACGGUGACAGAGGCGAGCAGCUGAACCUGAAGUGACCGUGAGAAAUUCAAUCACUUCCAAUGAUGCGGCGUAGGUCUGUGACUGCAGGGUUAUAACCGUAACAAUAGUUUACUGUCUUAAUAUAUAUUUGUUCCUUUGAAGACAUGAAACCCCUUUCCGCACACUGAAAUGGACAGGACCGUUUCUAUUCACGGAUUGUAUUUAUUUUAACCAGUUAUUCGCACCAGCCGAGGGGAUUUUCACGAGCCGUAUUAAGUUAUUGCUAAUACUCUGGUGCACGGGAACAUCAUGGAUUUCUCGUUAUUCCCCUGGCUUCGCUCCACGCGCGUCUGAGUCGCUCGCCACGAUGCAGAUCCUUCGAGUCGCGUGGGCUUUAGCCGGAGCUGCAAUCUGCUGUUUGUUCGUUAUGUGGGUCCACUCGCGCUUUCUGGAAGAAGGUCAGCUGGCAGCGGGGACGUGUGAGAUCGUCACGCUGGACCGGGACAGCAGCCAGCCGCGGCGGACCAUCGCGCGGCAGACAGCGCGCUGCGCGUGUAAGAGGGGCCAGAUCGCCGGGACGACGAGGGCCAGGCCGGCCUGUGUGGACGCGCGCAUCGUGAGGUCCAGGCAGUGGUGUGACAUGAUGCCCUGUCUGGAGGACGAAGGCUGCGACCUGUUGGCGAACGGAUCGGGCUGGACCUGCACGCAGCCCGGAGGCAGAGUCAAAACCACAACGGCACUAUGAUGUGAUGGAGCCCCCCUUUCGUACAAACGCCCCGGAUGAGCUGCGUGCAGCCUGACAGGACAGGACAGGACAGGACAGCCCCAAAACCCCGCCACCCCUCGCCAAGAACAGACAGUGACCAACUCCCGCUAACUGCAAGCCGCCGCGGGCCCUGACCGCACCGUAAGGUCUCCUGAGAACAAAGAACAGAGUCUCCCACAUCACCGGAGCAGCGUGGACUCUUUAGAGCUAGCUGCCCCCGGAAGUCAAGUCUACACGGCUCUGGGUCAUCUGUUGCUCGUCAUCAGCUCAGCUCAUCCAUCCACGGACAGCGCCCCCUUGUGCCUGGGCUGACCUCGCAAGUCUCUCUGACCCCCUUUUUUUGCCCAAAGAGCGGAAGCUGGGAUUAAAAACGGACUUCGCGGAGGGAAUUGUUUUUAAUUGGCUGAAGGGGAGGACGACAUCACAGGAAGCUGGUGCAUGACACGCCCGCAGACUGGACUCCAUGAUCAGGGAGAGUACCCGCGUCGGCUGUCUGGCGAAUUCAAAAGAGCUGUCUGUCCAAGGUUUAUUUUUGGCACCCUGAAUUAAUUUUUUUGUCUGUCUGUAUUUUCUUUCUUCUGUUGUUUUUUUUUUUUUUUUUACAGACCAAAGAAAAACAGCAUUUAAGUCGGGCCAGAUGGAACAGGUCGGAAACAAAGGGAUUCUGAGAAAUUAAUGAAUUCAGCUCUGAACAGGCAGCAAAACAAAGAGACGCAAACACACACACACAUGCUUGCACACACACACACACACACACACACACACGCGCUACACAAACGAGCAACCACACAACCUCUGUGGCUUUGAACAAAACGUCCUGUAAAAUGGCAGCACGGAGAGCAGCCGUCAGGAAGGACAUGUAAAGGAGUCCAUUCACCCACCGCUGCUGCUGAGGCUUUUCUCCCGGACCCUGCUCACACGAUCGCGUCAACCUGCCACUUACACACCUGUGAAAAUGAAUUUGCAUUUAUUCCUGGACACAAUCAGACAAUCUGCAACAGGCACGGCUGCACACGGGAAAAGGGUGUAAACCACUUUGCCGGAACACUGAUAAAAUUGUGAAUCGGAAAAGAAAUUUGUGGGGAUAAAAUAUCAUUUAAUGUAUUUUGAAAUGUUUGAAAGUUAUAUAUAUAUAUAUAUUUAACAGUUUUAUAUGUUGUAUCUUUGUAGAAAACCUUAUUUAACACCGACAAUGUGGUCACAAUGGCAGUCAUAAAGACUGGAUUCGAGAAGAACGCUCAUCAUCUCAAUGCCUUCCCUUGCUAUUUCCUUUGCCUGCAAGUGGCUCUUCUAUUACUUUUUUUUUUAAGCCAUCAAAUUAUUUUCAAUUUCUCAACAUGACCAAUGGUGACUCAAUUAAAAAAAAAAAAAAAAAAAAAA